rnacentral:rRNA from 1 species
GACAGAGGUGCCAAGCGUUAGGCGGAAUCACUGGGCUUAAAGCGUGUGUAGGUGGAUGUCUAAGUACCUUGUGAAAUCCCAUGGCUCAACCAUGGAACUGCUCGGUAUACUGGAUGUCUUGAGCCACUUAGGGGCUACCGGAACAAAUGGUGGAGCGGUGAAAUGCGUAGAUAUCAAGGAGGAACACCGGUGGCGAAGGCGGCUCUCUGGACGGUGACUGACGCUGAGACGCGAAAGCGUGGGGAGCAAACAGG